GGGUAUCUCUUACAAAGUGAGGUGAGGGAAGAAUCCAAAUAUGUCCUUAUCCCUAGGCUAAGUUCUUCUUAGUUCACUUCAUUCUUCGGAUAAUAUUCUACAUAUCAACUAAGCUACUUCACUCACUUAUUUAAGCUACUUCACUUCAUUCUUCCCAUAAUAUCUAGGAUGGCUUCUUCACACAUUGCCAUACUUUUCUGUCAAUAAUUUAAACAGGACUAUGAACAUGCAUUUCUUCCCACCCAAGCUCAAGGGUGUGUAGUUGUUGAUCCUACAUACCAACAGAUAUAUGUGAAACUAAUUAUUAAUGGAAAACUUCACAAAUUUAGUCUCCCUUGACUUGAUAGUGAUGGAAAAUCAAGGAGUUUUCAACAACUUACUUCUCGCAUCUUUUCAAUCUGCUCCUUACACCCACCAACAUCAUUGUAAGUGACAUCAGGCUUUUCUUCAACUGUCAUCAUGGUAACACUGGGGUCGAUUUUCGGAGGCAAGGGGAUUUGAAUCUGAUAUUUGUUUCUGUCAACCCUGCAAUAAUAAAAUGAAGGUAUCAAUUAAACAGACACAUGUAUGGCUUAAAAGACACAUGUUUCUGUCAACCCUGUAACAUUUGUGUUUUUAAUCAUUUGAAUGUAUGGCUUAAAAGACACAUGUAUGUACGAGUAAUGCGAACGUACGAGUAACAUAUGUAUAAGUAACAUGUACUCUUCUUAACAAUGUGAAUAUACGAGUAACAUUUGUAUUUU